GCUGGCGGCGUGCUUAACACAUGCAAGUCGAACGAAGCGCUUAAAUGGAUCUCUUCGGAUUGAAGUUUUUGUGACUGAGUGGCGGACGGGUGAGUAACGCGUGGGUAACCUGCCUCAUACAGGGGGAUAACAGUUAGAAAUGACUGCUAAUACCGCAUAAGCGCACAGUGCUGCAUGGCACAGUGUGAAAAACUCCGGUGGUAUGAGAUGGACCCGCGUCUGAUUAGCUAGUUGGUGGGGUAACGGCCUACCAAGGCGACGAUCAGUAGCCGGCCUGAGAGGGUGAACGGCCACAUUGGGACUGAGACACGGCCCAAACUCCUACGGGAGGCAGCAGUGGGGAAUAUUGCACAAUGGGGGAAACCCUGAUGCAGCGACGCCGCGUGAGCGAAGAAGUAUUUCGGUAUGUAAAGCUCUAUCAGCAGGGAAGAAAAUGACGGUACCUGACUAAGAAGCACCGGCUAAAUACGUGCCAGCAGCCGCGGUAAUACGUAUGGUGCAAGCGUUAUCCGGAUUUACUGGGUGUAAAGGGAGCGUAGACGGUUGUGUAAGUCUGAUGUGAAAGCCCGGGGCUCAACCCCGGGACUGCAUUGGAAACUAUGUAACUAGAGUGUCGGAGAGGUAAGCGGAAUUCCUAGUGUAGCGGUGAAAUGCGUAGAUAUUAGGAGGAACACCAGUGGCGAAGGCGGCUUACUGGACGAUCACUGACGUUGAGGCUCGAAAGCGUGGGGAGCAAACAGGAUUAGAUACCCUGGUAGUCCACGCCGUAAACGAUGACUACUAGGU
rnacentral:rRNA from 1 species